GAUGAACGCUGGCGGCGUGCUUAACACAUGCAAGUCGAACGAGAAAUGGAGACGGAAACCUUCGGGCGGAAGGCUUCAUUUCGAGUGGCGGACGGGUGAGUAACGCGUGGGUAACCUGCCUCAUACAGGGGGAUAACAGUUGGAAACGACUGUUAAUACCGCAUAAGACCACAGCACCGCAUGGUGCGGGGGUAAAAACUCCGGUGGUAUGAGAUGGACCCGCGUUCGAUUAGCCAGUUGGCGGGGUAACGGCCCACCAAAGCGACGAUCGAUAGCCAAUCUGAGAGGAUGACCGGCCACAUUGGGACUGAGACACGGCCCAAACUCCUACGGGAGGCAGCAGUGGGGAAUAUUGCACAAUGGGGGAAACCCUGAUGCAGCGACGCCGCGUGAGUGAAGAAGUACUUCGGUAUGUAAAGCUCUAUCAGCAGGGAAGAAAAUGACGGUACCUGAGUAAGAAGCCCCGGCUAACUACGUG
rnacentral:rRNA from 1 species